AGUUCCUGGCACAGGUCAAUUGAAAGCAUUGCGGGUGAGUAGAAACUGGGAGAGCAAAGGCAUCGAAGAGCACGUAAUGCUACAAGCUGUAAGUUUGCAUUUCCCGCAGGACUGUUUCCCAUUAUCCUUCCGCUGAACGAAGGAAAACUUCGGGCAUGAUGACUACGAUCAGAGACUUUCGACCCCUUGUUUAGCAAAAUGAGGACUGAUAAAGCCCAUAUGAGCAAGAAAUCGCUGUUGUUGAGUUCAACAGGUUUCAGCGUUGACAACUCGGUAGGCACUGCGUUUGAAGCAGGUACGGCAUCCACGGCAACAGCUUCCAGGAUAAGUGAAGAAACUUCGUGCAGGUGAGGUUGAAGCUUUGCAGCAAUAGCUGGUGACUCCAUUCCUUCCAAAAACGGUUUAUAAUUUUGCUGCACCAAACACAUAGUCUUUG
rnacentral:lncRNA from 1 species